GAUGAAGAACGUAGCGAACUGCGAUAAGUAAUGCGAAUUGCAGAAUUCAGUGAAUCAUCGAGUCUUUGAACGCACAUUGCGCCCCCUGGCAUUCCGGGGGGCAUGCCUGUCCGAGCGUCAUUACUGCCCAUCAAGCGCGGCUUGUGUGUUGGGUCCUCGUCCCUCCCGGGGGACGGGCCCGAAAGGCAGCGGCGGUACCGUCCGGUCCUCGAGCGUAUGGGGCUUUGUCACCCGCUCGAUUAGGGCCCGGUCGGCGCCAGCCGUCAACCCCCAAUUUUUUUUUAUUCAGGUUGACAUCGGAUCAGGUAGGGAUACCCGCUGAACUUAAGCAUAUCAAUAAGCGGAGGA
rnacentral:misc_RNA from 1 species